rnacentral:rRNA from 1 species
UACGGAGGGUGCGAGCGUUGUCCGGAAUCACUGGGCGUAAAGGGCGCGUAGGCGGCUGGGGAAGUCGGCGGUGAAAGCCCGGAGCUCAACUCCGGGUCGGCCGUCGAGACUCCUCGGCUCGAGCUCACUAGAGGCAGAUGGAAUUCCGGGUGUAGCGGUGGAAUGCGUAGAGAUCCGGAAGAACACCGGUGGCGAAGGCGGUCUGCUGGGGUGAGGCUGACGCUGAUGCGCGACGAGCGUGGGGAGCAAACAGGG